rnacentral:rRNA from 1 species
UACGUAGGACCCAAGCGUUAUCCGGAGUGACUGGGCGUAAAGAGUUGCGUAGGCGGCGGACAAAGCGAAUAGUGAAACCUGAUGGCUCAACCAUCAGACUGUUAUUCGAACUCGUCUGCUCGAGAGUAAGAGAGGUACCUGGAAUUUCUUGUGUAGGAGUGAAAUCCGUAGAUAUAAGAAGGAACACCAAUGGCGUAAGCAGGGUACUGGCUUAUUUCUGACGCUAAGGCACGAAAGCGUGGGGAGCGAACCGG